rnacentral:rRNA from 1 species
GUCUGAUUAGCUAGUUGGUAGGGUAAUGGCCUACCAAGGCGACGAUCAGUAGCUGGUCUGAGAGGAUGAUCAGCCACACUGGGACUGAGACACGGCCCAGACUCCUACGGGAGGCAGCAGUGGGGAAUCUUAGACAAUGGGGGCAACCCUGAUCUAGCCAUGCCGCGUGAGUGAUGAAGGCCCUAGGGUUGUAAAGCUCUUUCGUGGGGGAAGAUAAU